GCGGGGUUGGCCUAGCGGCUGGGCGUCAGCCUUCCAAGCUGAUUUAGACGGGUUCGAGUCCCGUACCCCGCU
rnacentral:tRNA from 1 species